UUUAGGGUGGAAUGUUCUGAAUAUAUGUUAAAUCCAUCUGGCUCAGUAUGUCAUUCAAAGUCACUGUUUCCUUGUUGAUUUUCUUCUGAAUGAUGUAUCCAGUGAUGUCUCACUGAAAUCCUCCACUCAAGUCCAAUAGCUGAGAAUUUUAGAGGAAAAAAAGACUGGGACUUCAAAAUCACACAGAAGAGAUGCCUUCUAGAUAGAAAUCAGUAUUGUAAUAUUAGGCCAGUUUACAUAUGUAAAGUAUGAAUAAACAAAGAGCAAGAGGACAAAAAUAAGAUCCCUCCGAGGGAACAAACUAUCAGCGGGAGAUGAGACAUCCAGGGAAAAAGAAAAAUGGAGAACCUUCCUUCAAAUCAACUAGAUAUUUCAACACUGGUGGAGAACUCUUUCUAUGAGAUUGCUUGACAAAUUUGGCUUCUGCUUAUCUCCCUCCUGAGCUGAUUCGUUAGUUGCAGAAGGCUAGCUGAGGAUUCCAGAAUAAGUUGCAUUCCAAGUUAAGAGCUCAUAUUGAUGGAACAGGCCAAGGUGAACCGCAUACCUGACUAUAUCUUAUUAUAUGACUUUUCUUAUAAAGGGAAAGGUGGGCAGAAGGAGAAGGAGAAGGAGAGAAAAUCCCAAGCAGACUUCACCCACAAUUUUAAAUAAAAUCAUGAGAGACACAGAGAGAGAGGCAGAGACAUAGGCAGAGG